rnacentral:misc_RNA from 1 species
UCUCCGUAGGUGAACCUGCGGAGGGAUCAUUACAGAGUUCAUGCCCUACCGGGUAGAUCUCCCACCCUAUGUUAUUAUUACUUUGUUGCCUUGGCGGGCCGUUAGGCUCCGGCCCGACUACCGGCCCCGGCUGGUAAGCGCCCGCCAGAGGGCCCAAAACCCUGAAUAUUAGUGUCGUCUGAGUACUAUAUAAUAGUUAAAACUUUCAACAACGGAUCUCUUGGUUCUA